GUUCUGCAGUUCUCUUAUGCCAGUUCAUAACUACAGGAAGUCUGUUAUGUGGGUUUUUACUGAUCGUAGGGCUAUAUAGUGUGUUGUGGGGGAAAACCAAAGAGCAAAGAAUGAUGGAUGAUGAAAAUUGUUUACAAGCACAUCAUGUAGACAAAGGCUGCACAGACUUGAAUUUUG